UACGUAGGGGGCAAGCGUUGUCCGGAAUCAUUGGGCGUAAAGCGCGUGUAGGCGGCUAGGUAAGUCUGCUCUGAAAGCCCGGGGCUCAACCCCGGGAGGCGGGUGGAUACUGUCUAGCUCGAGUCCGGAAGAGGAGUGUGGAAUUCCUGGUGUAGCGGUGAAAUGCGCAGAUAUCAGGAGGAACACCGGUGGUGAAAACGAGUCUCUGGUCCGCUUCUGACGCUCAGGUGCGAAAGCUAGGGGAGCAAACGGG
rnacentral:rRNA from 1 species